AGUGAACGCUGGCGGUAGGCCUAACACAUGCAAGUCGAACGGCAGCACAGUAAGAGCUUGCUCUUACGGGUGGCGAGUGGCGGACGGGUGAGGAAUACAUCGGAAUCUACUUUUUCGUGGGGGAUAACGUAGGGAAACUUACGCUAAUACCGCAUACGACCUACGGUUGAAAGCAGGGGAUCUUCGGACCUUGCGCGAUUGAAUGAGCCGAUGUCGGAUUAGCUAGUUGGCGGGGUAAAGGCCCACCAAGGCGACGAUUCGUAGCUGGUCUGAGAGGAUGAUCAGCCACACUGGAACUGAGGCACGGUCCAGACUCCUACGGGAGGCAGCAGUGGGGAAUAUUGGACAAUGGGCGCAAGCCUGAUCCAGCCAUACCGCGUGGGUGAAGAAGGCCUUCGGGUUGUAAAGCCCUUUUGUUGGGGAAGAAAAGCAGCAGGUUAAUACCCCGCUGUUCUGACGGUACCCAAGGAAUAAGCACCGGCUAACUUCGUG
rnacentral:rRNA from 1 species